GAGGGCAUAGCUCAGUGGUAGAGCGCAUACCCAGUAUGCAUGAGGUCCUGGGUUCAAUCCCCAGUAGCUCCA
rfam:Camelus ferus unplaced genomic scaffold scaffold951, whole genome shotgun sequence.